GCGACUUCGUGUGCACAGUGUCAGUCUGUGUCUGGCGGGGCAGAGUGUUGGCGCGCUGCCCACUCUCCACUCACACAAAUCCUGCAGCUGGAGAUGAACAUGAGAUCAUAGUACUGCUCCGGUGCCCGUCUGUUGGACGCUUCCCCCCCGUCUGCUGUCCGCCAUUGAUCUGCCGUGCUGGUUCCAGGUAUCA